CGGAGUUGGGUCCCCACAAGCACACGAGGAGGAGGCCGCCGUUACCUUGCCCCACCAUGGGCCGCUGCCUCACCCAGCGAGCAUCUUUUUCUUCUGCAUCUUCGUCCACCGCGCCGCGUGAAGAGACGAGGCCCUGCCAUCCGCCCUUUCUCGUAUUAUCAGGUUGAUCUGCAACGUGGCUGAUAAUCCACUUCAUCUACCUGCUUUAACCAUUUUUGGAGCCAAUAAAUAAGAGGUUCCUUUCAUUCGGGAGAUGCACAAGGCAUCGGUGCUGGAGCUCUGUACGACAGCACGGGCGUUGGGGCAGAGGUAGGUCGAGUGGAGAUCCUUUUCUAGCUUGGACGACCCGUGCAUCAUGUAGGAGGAGGGAAAGCAGCAUCAACGAUUCCAUGGUUCAAAGCUGAUGACGGGGAGAGGAGGUGGUGUACGGAGGGGUAGGCAGAGAAGGUGACACCUCCGAGGAGCAGUGUUCAGCUUUCACCACAGCAAGUACCCUCAUCCAUGUCCUCUUCAUCGCUGAAGACGCCGACGAACAGUGCACGGCCAACCCUCCUCUGCAUCUUAUUUUUAAGGUUCUUCUUUCUCUCUGUGUCAAACGUGCUCUCCUAGAGGUUGAGAUAGAAGUGGAGGCAUACUCUUCUUUAAUUUAAGAUCCUGAACAUCACGUUUUGGUUUAUGGGGAUCCGUUUCUAAUGCUUACACCGUGUUUCAUAAAGUGACAAAUUAGCUCAUGUUUCAUCUCUAGGUUAAAUAAGAUGCCAAUAUAUUUUGGCUUCUCGGUUACAGUGGUCGGUUAGGUGUUAUUGUGCCGCUGGGUUGCUCUCCGUGCUGAUGCUUGCUAAUAUUUGACCCAAAAUUCAAUUUAAC